rnacentral:rRNA from 1 species
CUGAACCAGCCAAGUAGCGUGAAGGAUGACUGCCCUAUGGGUUGUAAACUUCUUUUAUACGGGAAUAAAGUGAGCCACGUGUGGCUUUUUGUAUGUACCGUAUGAAUAAGGAUCGGCUAACUCCGUGCCAGCAGCCGCGGUAAUACGGAGGAUCCGAGCGUUAUCCGGAUUUAUUGGGUUUAAAGGGAGCGUAGGCGGGUUGUUAAGUGAGUUGUGAAAGUUUGCGG